AAAGUCGUAACAAGGUAACCGUAGGUGAACCUGCGGUUGGAUCAUUAAAAAAACUACAAAGGUGCGCACCCCGGGUGUCUUAAAAAUAAGCCUGACACGCCACCGGGGAGCUUUACCUUGACAUUGGCAUGCAGUGAUAGCCCUAAGCGUCACACGUGGCUUUCUGCCGUCAUAGCCUAUCACUGUACAGAGUUUUCACUCAUGCAAGCUGCAUGCCUUCAUAUGUUAACCUCUUGUGAACCGACUCGUCUCUGGCGUGGAGGGCAGUUGAGAAACUGCUUGUCAGCAUCCAAAUGUAAAUUUGCAGGUGCCGUGGACAACCCGUCAACCCUUUACAACGUAUACAACUUAAAUUACUGUCUAACAUCACUUGUAUAAAUUAAUACAAAACAACUUUUGGCAACGGAUCUCUUGGCUCUC
rnacentral:misc_RNA from 1 species